UUCGGUAUUUGUUGAUCAAUCGUAAAAACUGAUACUGGACAUACUGAUGGUACAUUAGGUCAUGAUAAAGUGAGUGGUGGAUUAAACAAUCUUAGUCCCUCAGAUUUUUUGCAAUUACCAUCUGGCACACCAGAACAUCUCCAAAGCAAAGAGACUGCUUGGAGAACAUGCAAUGAGCUUCUUCUUAACACAAAAUUUGGCAGAGAGCCAUAUAUAUUGAUACCACUUGUGAAAGAUGUGAUUGUGGAAGUAAAAUUCCAAUCGAUUUGGUUGAAGUGAGAUUUAAUUGAUUAGAUCAGAGUUUAAUUUUUUAGAUUUGGUUUGAUUGGUUCAGAGUGGUUUUAGGUCCUGUUCCAUCAGAAAAAAUUUGGAUUAAUUUUUUAUUGGCUCUAAUGAUCGGCAACUAGUUAAUAAAUUUUGGAUUAAUUUUUAGAGAAUUUCUGUUAUUCCUCAUGUCAAAAAUCUGUUGGAAGCUCCUUAAGAAACUUCCUACUUAGUGUCGAUUGGCUGAACUUAGCAUAUGCCCCCCUCCUCGUGUUACCUCUGUCGUAAAGAGUCUCAUGAGCAGAAUCAUAUAUUUUUUUCUUGCAUCUUUGUUAUUAAUGUUUGGCAACGACCGAAAGUUGCUUUCAAUGUUACUUGCUCUAAUUCUCUGAAUGGCCUAAUGCAGCCUAGAUUACCGAUUGACGGAUCUGGAAAAGAAUAAUUGCCAGUUGCUUGGAAUAUCAUCAUUGCAUAUAGAGUUUGGAUGAUCUGAAAGGAAAAAGAGGGUGGAGCUGGACGUGUGAUUAGAGACAGAUCUGAAAAUGUGCUUUGACAAGCUGUUCCUACAUAUUCCUAUUAGCAUGAUUGGUUGGUAUUAAAUGACUUUGAGGUAGACUCUUGAUGUAGAAUACAUUAUGAGAAUGCUGAAUGAGGAGGAUCAACCAUCUUUUGAAUAAACAAAUCUCUAAAUUAAUAAUGUAAUUCACCUUUUUUAACUCGCACAAUUUGCUAAAAAUUGGAUCAAAAAGAAGUAAUUGGUCGAGUGGGAUUGUAUUUUAUGCUCCAAUGAAUAUGGCAUGCAUAGUUUGUUAGACUGUUGGGUUGUAUUUUAUGCUCUAGUUAGUUAACAUGGCAUAGAUUGUAAUAAUAGACUGAUCAUGUAGGUCUAUUUCCAUUUCUUUUGUUCAUGGUGAUUUGGGUGA